rnacentral:rRNA from 1 species
UGAGGAAUAUUGGACAAUGGGGGAAACCCUGAUCCAGCAAUGCCGCGUGAAUGAAGAAGGCCUUCGGGUUGUAAAGUUCUUUCACUUAUGAAGAUGAUGACGGUAAUAAGAGAAGAAGCUCCGGCUAACUCUGUGCCAGCAGCCGCGGUAAGACAGAGGGAGCUAGCGUUGUUCGGAAUGACUGGGCGUAAAGGGUGCGUAGGCGGUCGCUUAAGUAGGAUGUAAAAGCCCAAGGCUCAACCUUGGAACCGCGUUCUAAACUGGGCGACUAGAGUGUGAGAGAGGAAAGUGGAAUUCCUAGUGUAGAGGUGAAAUUCGUAGAUAUUAGGAGGAACACCAGAGGCGAAGGCGGCUUUCUGGAUCAUUACUGACGCUGAGGCACGAAAGCGUGGGGAGCAAACAGG